CGGACCUGGACAGGACCGUGAAGUUCUGGAGGCAGCACUCCAGGGACCCGGAAUGUGGUGGUUUUUUCAACUGUCUCAGCAAAGAUGGAAAAGUGUACGAUGAAAUAAAGCACGUUUGGUUGCAAGCAAGACAGGUUUGGAUGUAUGCUCGUUUGUACAAUGAUGUCGAAAGAUUCAGGGACGAGGACUUGCUCCAAGAAGCCGUCAGAGGAGCUGAGUUUUUGAUGCAGAACGUCAGGGAUCCCAACACGUACAAAUGUUCCUUGGUGGUCACAAGAGAUGGGAAGGCAAUCAAAAUCCAGAGAAGUCUUUUCUCCGAGUGCUUCUAUCUGAUGGCAAUGUCGGAAGUAGGAAGAGCGACGGGAGUCGAGAAAUAUAAGAAAGAGGCCAUAACGAUGAUGGAGAAAAUAACUGGUUGGAUACAGUCGCAUGGGGAGGGUCUGGGUAUCGAGAAGUUGCCAGGACACCGACCAAUCAGCUCGCUGGCCAUCCCUAUGAUGACCCUCUGUGUCAUCGAACAGCUGAAGACCAUGGACCCUAGCCUAAACUACGACGAUCUGACAGACUGGGCCAUCAAAGACGCCAUGAAGCACGUCCAGAGAGAAGGGACGGUGAUUCUGGAGACGACCACAAACGACGGCAAGGAGAUGGGUGGGAGCGCAGGGCGGCUGAUGUUACCAGGCCACUCGAUCGAGGCUGGCUGGUUCCUGUUACGUCACGCCACACGGUCGGGGGACCAGGCGCUGAAGCAGACGGCCAUUCAGAGCUUCAUGGAGCGACCGUUUGUACUACUUCCUGGAUGUAGACGGCUGGAGCCCCGUACAGUUGGAGUGGGACAUGAAGCUUUGGUGGGCCCAUAACGAGGCUCUGAUCGCCUUUCUCAUGGCGUACAAGGAAACCAAGGACAAGAGGCAUCUAGACAGAUUCGCUCAAAUAUUUGACUACAGCUACUCACAUUUUGUUGAUGAGGAAAAUGGGGAGUGGUUUGGAUAUCUGAGAAAAGAUGGUUCUGUCAGCAUGGAUUUCAAGGGUGGACCAUGGAAAGGAUGUUUCCAUGUCCCCCGAUACUUGAUGAUGUGUGAACAGAUGCUCAAGGAACUGUUGGACAAGAAGAACUGACAAUAUCUGAAUUUAUUAUAUCAAAUCAACAGAUACUGUAUAACAUGUAUUUGUCAUUCAAUACACCAUGAUGUGAUACAUACUGUAUAUAAAAUCAUAACAAUCUCAGGAUGAAAUCCUAUUGUGUUUAUGGCAAGUCUCGCAAAAUAUGUUAAAAAUGAUGGCAAGUCUAGAAAAAUGUUUAAAAUGAUGGCAAGUCUAGAAAAAUAUGUUAAAAAUGAAUUUAGAAAAAAUUAAACACAUAGUGAGACACCAAUAAUUGAAUGCGUUUUAUUUACAUGUAUGUAGAAUGAAAAAAGGAAAUGGCCAAUAACUGAACACUUCAAUGGGCAAAACUUUCCUGAGUCUUUGGUAAUUAAAAUACAAAUACAUCUGUCUGCAUAAACAACAACAAAUAAAAACUACAUGUUCCUCAUGUAA
rnacentral:misc_RNA from 1 species